ensembl:snRNA U6 U6 spliceosomal RNA
GUGCUUGCUUCAGCAGCACAUACAUAUACCAAAAUGGGAACGAUACAGAGAAGAUUAGUAUGGCGCCUGCAAAAGGAUCACAUUCAAAAAUUAACAUUCUGCCAUACUUAU